rnacentral:rRNA from 1 species
UACGGAGGGUGCAAGCGUUGUUCGGAAUUAUUGGGCGUAAAGCGCGUGUAGGCGGUCAGGCAAGUCAGAUGUGAAAGCCCUCGGCUUAACCGGGGAAGGGCAUUUGAAACUGCUUGGCUGGAGUACGGGAGAGGAGAGUGGAAUUCCCGGUGUAGAGGUGAAAUUCGUAGAUAUCGGGAGGAACACCAGUGGCGAAAGCGGCUCUCUGGCCCAAUACUGACGCUGAGACGCGAAAGCGUGGGGAGCAAACAGG